GCUCAGUGCCACUAUACCUUACUUACUGUUUUGGUGUAUCUGCUUCUGCGAUUUAAAAAAUUGGCAGAAACCAUAAGUUACAUAGUUUAAUUCACUGAUCCCAAUCAACCCUGUGCUCCAAGUAGUACAGCCUCUCCAACAAGAAAAUUAUAUGCAGAUCAGGGAAUCUAUCAAAGAAAAUUCUUGGAAGCUCCAAAAACACAGAAUUUGAAUCAUAGCAAAUUGCACUGCUUCUGUUCGCAAG
rnacentral:lncRNA from 1 species